UUGGCCGGGCGACGGUUGUCCCGGUUUAAGCGUGUAGGCUGGUUUUCCAGGCAAAUCCGGAAAACCAAGGCUGAGGCGUGAUGACGAGGCACUACGGUGCUGAAGCGACAAAUGCCCUGCUUCCAGGAAAAGCCUCUAAGCAUCAGGUAACAUCAAAUCGUACCCCAAACCGACACAGGUGGUCAGGUAGAGAAUACCAAGGCGCUUGAGAGAACUCGGGUGAAGGAACUAGGCAAAAUGGUGCCGUAACUUCGGGAGAAGGCACGCUGAUAUGUAGGUGAAGCGACUUGCUCGUGGAGCUGAAAUCAGUCGAAGAUACCAGCUGGCUGCAACUGUUUAUUAAAAACACAGCACUGUGCAAACACGAAAGUGGACGUAUACGGUGUGACGCCUGCCCGGUGCCGGAAGGUUAAUUGAUGGGGUUAGCGGUAACGCGAAGCUCUUGAUCGAAGCCCCGGUAAACGGCGGCCGUAACUAUAACGGUCCUAAGGUAGCGAAAUUCCUUGUCGGGUAAGUUCCGACCUGCACGAAUGGCGUAAUGAUGGCCAGGCUGUCUCCACCCGAGACUCAGUGAAAUUGAACUCGCUGUGAAGAUGCAGUGUACCCGCGGCAAGACGGAAAGACCCCGUGAACCUUUACUAUAGCUUGACACUGAACAUUGAGCCUUGAUGUGUAGGAUAGGUGGGAGGCUUUGAAGUGUGGACGCCAGUCUGCAUGGAGCCGACCUUGAAAUACCACCCUUUAAUGUUUGAUGUUCUAACGUUGGCCCGUAAUCCGGGUUGCGGACAGUGUCUGGUGGGUAGUUUGACUGGGGCGGUCUCCUCCUAAAGAGUAACGGAGGAGCACGAAGGUUGGCUAAUCCUGGUCGGACAUCAGGAGGUUAGUGCAAUGGCAUAAGCCAGCUUGACUGCGAGCGUGACGGCGCGAGCAGGUGCGAAAGCAGGUCAUAGUGAUCCGGUGGUUCUGAAUGGAAGGGCCAUCGCUCAACGGAUAAAAGGUACUCCGGGGAUAACAGGCUGAUACCGCCCAAGAGUUCAUAUCGACGGCGGUGUUUGGCACCUCGAUGUCGGCUCAUCACAUCCUGGGGCUGAAGUAGGUCCCAAGGGUAUGGCUGUUCGCCAUUUAAAGUGGUACGCGAGCUGGGUUUAGAACGUCGUGAGACAGUUCGGUCCCUAUCUGCCGUGGGCGCUGGAGAACUGAGGGGGGCUGCUCCUAGUACGAGAGGACCGGAGUGGACGCAUCACUGGUGUUCGGGUUGUCAUGCCAAUGGCACUGCCCGGUAGCUAAAUGCGGAAGAGAUAAGUGCUGAAAGCAUCUAAGCACGAAACUUGC
rnacentral:rRNA from 1 species